rnacentral:lncRNA from 1 species
CUCUGCGUGGCUUCUACCGUGAUAUAUAUAUCUGUCUCUCUGCCACAAUGCUAGCUGUCUUCUGUCGCCUAGCUCCGUAUGUACGGAUGUGUCAGGCGCCUGCUCCAUGCGUAACGGCCAUUAAUUCUCCUCUGAUACGUAUGAUUCUCCUCUGAUACGCAUGCGGAAGGACCUACCAGCGGGGCAUCUUGGUCAUUUUCCCCUUUUCGGGCUAGGUUGAAUGGUAGGGCUGAAGUUGGGCCUGGUGAGGGCCUGAUUACUGGGCCGAGAGGUUUGGGCCGGUUUGAUUGAGGAGUCUAGGCGGAGUCCGGCCCUAUGACUGAGCGGGC